GUCUACGGCUAUACUGAGUAAGCCUGGUCCCAUCUGAUCUCAGAAGCUAAGCAGGGUCGGGCCUGGUUAGUACUUGGAUGGGAGACCACCUAUGAAGACCAGGUGCUGUAGGCA
rnacentral:rRNA from 1 species